GACGAACGCUGGCGGCGUGCUUAACACAUGCAAGUCGAACGGAAAGGCCCUGCUUUUGUGGGGUGCUCGAGUGGCGAACGGGUGAGUAACACGUGAGUAACCUGCCCUUGACUUUGGGAUAACUUCAGGAAACUGGGGCUAAUACCGGAUAGGAGCUCCUGCUGCAUGGUGGGGGUUGGAAAGUUUCGGCGGUUGGGGAUGGACUCGCGGCUUAUCAGCUUGUUGGUGGGGUAGUGGCUUACCAAGGCUUUGACGGGUAGCCGGCCUGAGAGGGUGACCGGCCACAUUGGGACUGAGAUACGGCCCAGACUCCUACGGGAGGCAGCAGUGGGGAAUAUUGCACAAUGUGCGGAAGCCUAAUGCAGCAACGCCGCGUGCGGGAUGACGGCCUUCGGGUUGUAAACCGCUUUCGCCUGUGACGAAGCGUGAGUGACGGUAAUGUGUAAAGAAGCACCGGCUAACUACGUG
rnacentral:rRNA from 1 species